GGAUGCGGUCAUACCAGCACUAAAGCACCGGAUCCCAUCAGAACUCCGUAGUUAAGCGUGCUUGGGC
rnacentral:rRNA from 1 species